rnacentral:rRNA from 1 species
GGGGAAUAUUGGGCAAUGGGCGCAAGCCUGACCCAGCAACGCCGCGUGAGGGAAGAAGGCUUUCGGGUUGUAAACCUCUGUCCUUGGGGACGAAAAAAAUGACGGUACCCAAGGAGGAAGCUCCGGCUAACUACGUGCCAGCAGCCGCGGUAAUACGUAGGGAGCGAGCGUUGUCCGGAAUUACUGGGCGUAAAGGGUGCGUAGGCGGCAAGGCAAGUCAGAUGUGAAAUCCCCGGGCUUAACUCGGGGGGUGCAUUUGAAACUGCUUUGCUUGAGUGCAGGAGAGGAAAGCGGAAUUCCUAGUGUAGCGGUGAAAUGCGUAGAUAUUAGGAGGAACACCAGUGGCGAAGGCGGCUUUCUGGACUGUAACUGACGCUGAGGCACGAAAGCGUGGGGAGCAAACAG